rnacentral:rRNA from 1 species
AUUGAACGCUGGCGGAAUGCUUUACACAUGCAAGUCGAACGGUAACAGGUUAAGCUGACGAGUGGCGAACGGGUGAGUAAUACAUCGGAACGUGCCCAGUCGUGGGGGAUAACGUAGAGAAAUUUACGCUAAUACCGCAUACGAUCUAAGGAUGAAAGCGGGGGACCGUAAGGCCUCGCGCGAUUGGAGCGGCCGAUGUCAGAUUAGGUAGUUGGUGGGGUAAAGGCCCACAAGCCAACGAUCUGUAGCUGGUCUGAGAGGACGACCAGCCACAUUGGGACGGAGGCACGGCCCAGACGCCUACGGGGGGCAGCAGUGGGGAAUUUUGGACAAUGGGCGCAAGCCUGAUCCAGCAAUGCCGCGUGCAGGAAGAAGGCCUUCGGGUUGUAAACUGCUUUUGGACGGAACGAAACGGUCUGGGUUAAUACCUCGGGCUAAUGACGGUACCGUAAGAAUAAGCACCGGCUAACUCUGUGCCAGCCGCCGCGGUAACAC